AUACGCAAUCCGGCGAACAAUACUCUCAAAGUUUGACCUCAAAUCAGGUAGGAAUACCCGCUGAACUUAAGCAUAUCAAUAAGCGGAGGAAAAAGAAACCAACCGGGAUUGCCUUAGUAACGGCGAGUGAAGCGGCAAAAGCUCAAAUUUGAAAUCUGGUACCUUCGGUGCCCGAGUUGUAAUUUGUAGAAGGUAACUUUGGGGCUGGUCCUUGUCUAUGUUCCUUGGAACAGGACGUCAUAGAGGGUGAGAAUCCCGUGUGGCGAGGAUCCCAGUUCUUUGUAAAGUGCUUUCGAAGAGUCGAGUUGUUUGGGAAUGCAGCUCUAAGUGGGUGGUAAAUUCCAUCUAAAGCUAAAUAUUGGCGAGAGACCGAUAGCGAACAAGUACAGUGAUGGAAAGAUGAAAAGAACUUUGAAAAGAGAGUGAAAAAGUACGUGAAAUUGUUGAAAGGGAAGGGCAUUUGAUCAGACAUGGUGUUUUGCGCCCUCUGCUCCUUGUGGGUGGGGGAAUCUCGCAGCUCACUGGGCCAGCAUCAGUUUUGGCGGCAGGAUAAAUCUGCAGGAAUGUAGCUUGCCUCGGUAAGUGUUAUAUCCUGUAGAAAUACUGCCAGCUGGGACUGAGGACUGCGACUUUACGUCAAGGAUGCUGGCAUAAUGGUUAUAUGCCGCCCGUCUUGAAACACGGACCAAGGAGUCUAACGUCUAUGCGAGUGUU
rnacentral:rRNA from 1 species